AGUGCAUGUUGAAAAUUUUUACUACUUAUUUAUUUUUUAGGAAACAGCUCUCUUAGAUGUUCGUAAAGAAAUAAAUUUUUGUGAGAAAGUAAAGCUUCGUGUUCUUGGAGUAGUAGAAAAUAUGAGUGUUUUCGUAUGCCCAAAGUGUAAGGUAUCAACUGAAAUUUUUCCUCCAACAACUGGUGGAGCUCAGAGAAUGGCAGAAGAAAUGAAUGUUCCUUUCCUGGGAAAAAUUCCAUUGAAUUCUCAAAUAGGGAAAUUUUGUGAUGAAGGACAAAUAGAUAGAAAUUUUCCCCUUCUAGAGAAAAGCUUUUUGAAAACUA